rnacentral:rRNA from 1 species
UGGGGAAUAUUGGACAAUGGGCGAAAGCCUGAUCCAGCCAUGCCGCGUGAGUGACGAAGGCCUUAGGGUUGUAAAACUCUUUCGUCGGGGACGAUAAUGACGGUACCCGAAGAAGAAGCUCCGGCUAACUUCGUGCCAGCAGCCGCGGUAACACGAAGGGAGCUAGCGUUGUUCGGAAUCACUGGGCGUAAAGCGCACGUAGGCGGAUAGUUAAGUCAGGGGUGAAAUCCUGGGGCUCAACCCCAGAACUGCCUUUGAUACUGGCUGUCUCGAGGUCGAGAGAGGUUGGUGGAAUUCCUAGUGUAGAGGUGAAAUUCGUAGAUAUUAGGAAGAACACCAGUGGCGAAGGCGGCCAACUGGCUCGAUACUGACGCUGAGGUGCGAAAGCGUGGGGAGCAAACAGGAUUAGAUACCCCAGUAGUCCCUGAGCGGGCUGGCAAGGCGCAU